rnacentral:tRNA from 1 species
GCGGGCGUAGCUCAGUGGUAGAGCACAACCUUGCCAAGGUUGGGGUCGAGGGUUCGACUCCCUUCGCCCGCUCCA